GACGAACGCUGGCGGCGUGCCUAAUACAUGCAAGUCGAGCGAACAGAUGUGAAGCUUGCUUCUCUGAUGUUAGCGGCGGACGGGUGAGUAACACGUGGGUAACCUACCUAUAAGACUGGGAUAACUCCGGGAAACCGGGGCUAAUACCGGAUAAUAUUUUGAACCGCAUGGUUCAAUAGUGAAAGACGGUUUCGGCUGUCACUUAUAGAUGGACCCGCGCCGUAUUAGCUAGUUGGUAAGGUAGCGGCUUACCAAGGCGAUGAUACGUAGCCGACCUGAGAGGGUGAUCGGCCACACUGGAACUGAGACACGGUCCAGACUCCUACGGGAGGCAGCAGUAGGGAAUCUUCCGCAAUGGGCGAAAGCCUGACGGAGCAACGCCGCGUGAGUGAUGAAGGUCUUCGGAUCGUAAAACUCUGUUGUUAGGGAAGAACAAAUUUGUUAGUAACUGAACAAGUCUUGACGGUACCUAACCAGAAAGCCACGGCUAACUACGUGCCAGCAGCCGCCGUAA
rnacentral:rRNA from 1 species